UUAUUACUUAAUAUACACAUGCAAGUAUCCGCCCCCCUGUGAGAACGCCCUCUAACCCCUCCUGGGACAAGGAGCUGGUAUCAGGCACAAUAAUUUGCCCAAGACACCUAGUUAUGCCACACCCACAAGGGAACUCAGCAGUGAUUAACAUUGAACAUUAGCGUAAGCUUGAUUUAGUUAAAGUAAUAUAGAGCCGGCUAAUCUGGUGCCAGCCGCCGCGGUUACACCACGUGGCUCAAAUUGACCCCCUCCGGCGUAAAGCGUGAUUAAAGUAUUUUUUAUUAGAGUUAAACUAAAACUAAGCUGUGACACGCCUGUUUAUUAAGAAACCCAAAGACGAAAGUUACUCUAACGUAACCAACUUGAAUUCACGACAGCUGGAAAACAAACUGGGAUUAGAUACCCCACUAUGCCCAGCCGUAAACUUUUACUUACAUUCGAAUCGCCAGGGAACUACGAGCUAAGCUUAAAACCCAAAGGACUUGACGGUACCCCAUAUCCCCCUAGAGGAGCCUGUUCUAUAAUCGAUAAUCCACGUUUAACCUCACCAUUUUUAGUUUUUCAGCCUGUAUACCUCCGUCGUCAGCUUACCACGUGAGCGCAAAUUAGUGAGCUUAAUGUUAUUUCACCAGUACGUCAGGUCAAGGUGCAGCAUAUAAAAUGGAAAGAAAUGGGCUACACUUUUUAUAAUAAAAGAUAACGGAAAACUAUGUGAAACCUAGUUUAAAGGCGGAUUUAGCAGUAAAAAGGAGUCAGCACACCCCUUUUAACCCGGCACUGGGGUGUGUACACACCGCCCGUCACCCUCUUCGAAGCUACAACACAAUUUUUAAUAAAUCAAAGCACAACAGAAGAGGCAAGUCGUAACAUGGUAAGUAUACCGGAAGGUGUGCUUGGAAU
rnacentral:ncRNA from 1 species